rnacentral:lncRNA from 1 species
CGACGAACUAUGAACCAGCCUUAAGCGCUUGUUCAGCAAGGUCAUCAAGUUGCUUGCCAACUGGAAGCGCCCAUUAUUCGAUCGAUCCAUCGAUGGUUCCGCCAAUUAGUGAUUAGUAGAUUGAGAAGUGGCGUCAUCUAUUGACAAAAAUUUCAAGAAAUGAUUUCUUUUCACAUUAAUUGUAGAACAACGAUGUUGCAAACAGUAUACGUCUAUGACAUUGUCUAUAAUAUAAGAAUGUACAGUAUAUUUAUAGCAAUGAUAUAUAAGAAUGUACAGCAGCGUUUCUCAACCUAUUUGCUGCGCGACCCAACAUAUAAUCUUAAAAAUAAUCGACAUUAUCUGAGCUAUCAUUUCGCGAUCCGUUAACAAUUUAACGCAGCCAAAAAUCGUGACCUAGAGGUUGAGAAACGCUGAUAUAAAGCAUAAAUCAAUCUGAAGAAUCUAAAGUAUAAAGUAUAAUGUCAUUUUAAUAGUGUUUCUGUUCCAUAAAAUACUAACUGGUAAGAAAAAAAUGGCCAUGGAAAAUAAAAAUGUAUUUAUUUCAAUUGCUAAACUGUAUAAUGAUAAUUUUGGGAUGACCUAUCAAUAAAUUUUCUAAUUGGC